AAUAGAAAGUAAUUAAGGGCGUAUGGCGGAUGCCUAGGCUCACGGAGGCGAUGAAGGACGUGAUAAGCUGCGAUAAGCCUCGGGUAGAUGCAAAUAAUCUUUGAUCCGAGGAUUUCCGAAUGGGACAACCUGACUGUCUGAAUGAUAGUCACCCAUAUUUAAUUAUGGGAGCAAACGCAGGGAACUGAAACAUCUUAGUACCUGUAGGAAAAGAAAAUAAUUUAAUGAUUCCCCUAGUAGUGGCGAGCGAACGGGGAAUAGCCCAAACCUAUGACGUAGUAAUGCGUGAUAGGGGUAGUAGGGUCACGAUAUCGUACUUUGAAAGUGAGGAGAAUGUUCUGGAAAGUUCAAUAAUAUAAGGUGAUAAUCCUGUAUCCGAAGCUUGAUGAGGCGUAGUGAAUCCCUGAGUAGUGCGGAGCACGAGUAAUUCUGCAUGAAUCUGCCGGGACCAUCCGGUAAGGCUAAAUACUCCCGUGAGACCGAUAGUGAAUUAG
rnacentral:rRNA from 1 species